rnacentral:rRNA from 1 species
AGGGAAAGCUGCAAAGCACUUUGAAGAGAGAGUUAAAGAGGACGUGAAACCGGUAAGGUGGAAACGGAUAGAGUCGGCGUAUCAUUCAAUUAUUCAGUUACAUUAUUUUUAUGUUGUGACCUCUGAGCUCCAGAUUGGGACAGAGGGAAUCAGCAUAAUUUUUUGUGGUGCAUUUACUUGAUUGGUGCUUGGGGAUGUUUGAGGCAGAUUUGUUUCCGUCGUUUUGAGGCCAGCUUGCUGGUACCCAAACGGUGUUAGCAUUUUUUGUCUUGGGCAUUUGAGUAUGGCUCACGUGUAUUUAUUGGACAGAUCUGAGUGUAAGUUACGGUCGCAUGCGACACGUGCUUUUCAAUUAGUUCGGUCCAGUUAAUGCUCUCGUACUCGUUCCCCAUGUAAAAGCCGGUCAUCUAUCCGACCCGUCUUGAAACACGGACCAAGGAGUUUAUCGUGUGCGCAAGUUUUUGGGUGUUAAAAACUUAAAAGCGAAAUGAAAGUAAAUGACUCUUUAGAGUCUGAUGUGCGAUCUUGUAAAAAAGUGUAGCAUGGCCCCAUUCUAACUGUUUACAGUAGGGUGGCGGAAGAGCGUACGCGGUGAGACCCGAAAGAUGGUGAACUAUUCCUGAGCAGGACGAAGCCAGAGGAAACUCUGGUGGAAGUCCGAAGCGGUUCUGACGUGCAAAUCGAUCGUCUGACUUGGGUAUAGGGGCGAAAGACUAAUCGAACCAUCUAGUAGCUGGUUCCUUCC